AUGAGAAAUUGCAUUGCACAUCUUCUGGAAAGGCAGGUGAUAGAAGAAGUCCCUUACACAGAACACUUCCGUGACAGUACCCCCCACUUGAAGACCACCCACCGGAUGGGCAGGACAAGGCUUGAGGGGAAAUUUGGCAUGGAAGGAAUGGAUUUUGCGGCCUGCAUGUAUGUCCGAAGCAGAAACCCAAGAACGAUCAGCAGGCCCAUAACCCUUCCAAUCACCCAAAUACUGCAGAGACUCUCAAGAAAAUCUGGAGUCGAUUAUAGAGGAGACUUUGUACUCCUCCUGUCCAGAAACAACCAAAGGAGUGGGUGGGUCAGAUGAGACUUUGUACUCCUCCUGUCCAGAAAUAACCAAAGGAGUGGGAGGGUACCUGUUGCAGAUGAGGGGCUUCAGUAGGGAUAAAUGAAAUGUAUUAGGUAUAUGCAGAGAGGCAGAGAAUAAGACACAGGAUUAACCCUGCAAAUUAUUCAAAAGGGGCCAAUAAACCUAGGUGCAACUUUCAUGCUAGGAACUUUAAUAAUGCAUGUGGAGAGCCAUACCCUGUCACCCACCUGGUAACCAGGGU